rnacentral:rRNA from 1 species
UAGGGAAUCUUCCACAAUGGGCGAAAGCCUGAUGGAGCAACGCCGCGUGUGUGAUGAAGGGCUUCGGUUCGUAAAACACUGUUGUAAGAGAAGAAUGACAUUGAGAGUAACUGUUCAAUGUGUGACGGUAUCUUACCAGAAAGGAACGGCUAAAUACGUGCCAG